CCCGCAGCCCCUUUCCGGGAGGGCGGGAGGUGCCUCUGGGGGCCACAAACAAUAGCAGGGAAGUUGUAAAGGGAACAAGAACCGACGAGCCCGGCUCUCCUGGGCUGAUUCAGUGCCUUCCAUUCCUCCACGAGCGGACUGCUGUUGGACAAAAGAGGACCCCGCUUCAUAGACAGAGCUUUGUGAAAUUGCCCCAGUAAUCCAUGGGCAUGUGUAAAGAACCAGUAAGUUGACGCUAAAUGAAAUUUAUUAUUCCAACUCGGUAAAAGCUCCACCAACAUUAACUACAUAUUCAGGAUGUCACUUGGAUUUGUCUCUACACUGCAGAAUCUUAAACUUCAUGGCCAGUGAUCCA